UACGUAGGUGGCGAGCGUUAUCCGGAUUUACUGGGCGUAAAGAGGGCGUAGGCGGUCUUUCAAGUCGGAUGUGAAAUCUCCCGGCUCAACUGGGAGGGGUCAUCCGAUACUGUUGGACUGGAGGGUAGCAGAGGAAAGCGGAAUUCCCGGUGUAGUGGUGAAAUGCGUAGAUAUCGGGAGGAACACCAGUGGCGAAGGCGGCUUUCUGGGCUAUUUCUGACGCUGAGGCUCGAAAGUGUGGGGAG
rnacentral:rRNA from 1 species